UCUCUCUCUUUUUAUUUCCUUUCUCUCUUUACUCACCAGCACAACGAGCAUCUCUCGGCCUGCGCGGAAGGCAGGGCCAGUCCGGCCGUCACACCAGCCCCCGCCCCCCGCCCCAGGCGGAUUACGUCGCUCGCUGCUGCUGUUCCUUGACCUUUUCAAGAGCGGAGUCCCUUCUCCUUCCCCGGAUGCCAUCCCUCCGUCCAGCCAGACACAAGGGUCUUCAGUGGUACUUUGGCGGCGUUCAGAGCACGUUCCAGGUGCAGUUCGUCCUGCGACGGUGUAGAUAUAUUCCCCCCAUUCCCCGUCACGCCCCCCCAUGCUGUGAUCUUCCAAGCUUUCCAAGUUUCCUCCUCUGGGGCCUCCUUCCCCGGUUUUCUAUCGGGGCGCGACUCGGCCGAAGAAAGAGGCGACUCCCUCCCCUACUCUGCGGGGACCCUGAAGCCGGCUCUGCCUUCCAUUUCCAAGACGGAAUCGAGGAUGGGGUUAGGCCAAUGCUCAGAUGUUUAGUCCGGUGUUUCUCACGCAGGAAGCGCUCGAUGAAUCCCACUGAUUGAUUGACAAGAGAGGACCUGGCUCAGUUGCAUGGCAGGGUCUCCAGGGGCCCGCCCGAGGCCUGAACGCCAACCGAGGGGAUUGAUUGAGUACCGGUGCCUGGAGGAGGGUCCCGAGACCCCCGCCCUCAACCGGCAGCUCCUUUAUUUAUUUUUAAGCGCUUACUAUGUGCCAGGCACCGUUCUAAGUGCUGGGGUAGAUCCAAGCUAAUUAGG